GGACGAACGCUGGCGGCGUGCUUAACACAUGCAAGUCGAACGAAAAUACCAAGCUUGCUUGGUUGAUUAGUGGCGAACGGGUGAGUAACACGUGAGUAACCUGCCCCUUACUUUCUGGAUAACUGCUCGAAAGGGUAGCUAAUACGGGAUAUUCUGGCCUUCCUGCAUGGGUUGGUUUGGAAAGGUUUUUUCUGGUGAGGGAUGGGCUCGCGGCCUAUCAGCUUGUUGGUGGGGUGAUGGCCUACCAAGGCUUUGACGGGUAGCCGGCCUGAGAGGGUGGACGGUCACACUGGGACUGAGAUACGGCCCAGACUCCUACGGGAGGCAGCAGUGGGGAAUAUUGCACAAUGGGCGCAAGCCUGAUGCAGCGACGCCGCGUGAGGGAUGAAGGCCUUCGGGUUGUAAACCUCUUUCGUCAGGGAACAAGGCACUGCUUUUGGUGGUGUUGAGGGUACCUGGAUAAGAAGCGCCGGCUAACUAC
rnacentral:rRNA from 1 species